UUUAUCAUUCUCCUCCCAGGCGUCAAGGAUCCUCUGUACCAGUUGACACUUCUGGAAAAGCUGAGGGUUCGACAGAAACACAGAAUGAAGGAAGUACACAAAGACAUUAAGAGUGCUUACAUGGAGGACCUCCUGCCUCAAGGGGGCAGGCUCCACACAACUGAUGAGGCGAAGCAGCAGGUCCAUCAUGGCAGAGGCGUCAAUAUGU